rnacentral:rRNA from 1 species
ACGAACGCUGGCGGCGUGCUUCACACCUGCAAGUCGAACGCUGAAGCUUGGUGCUUGCACUGGGUGGAUGAGUGGCGAACGGGUGAGUAAUACGUGAGUAACCUGCCCUUGACUCUGGGAUAAGCCUGGGAAACUGGGUCUAAUACUGGAUACGACAUGUCACCGCAUGGUGGUGUGUGGAAAGGGUUUUACUGGUUUUGGAUGGGCUCACGGCCUAUCAGCUUGUUGGUGGGGUAAUGGCUCACCAAGGCGACGACGGGUAGCCGGCCUGAGAGGGUGACCGGCCACACUGGGACUGAGACACGGCCCAGACUCCUACGGGAGGCAGCAGUGGGGAAUAUUGCACAAUGGGCGGAAGCCUGAUGCAGCGACGCCGCGUGAGGGAUGACGGCCUUCGGGUUGUAAACCUCUUUCAGCACGGAAGAAGCGAAAGUGACGGUACGUGCAGAAGAAGCGCCGGCUAACUACGUG